GCAGUGAGCCGAGAUCACGUCACUGCACUUUAGCCUGGGUGACAGAGCGAGACUCCAUCUCAAAAAGAAGAGAACCCCAGAAACUUAGGCUGGAACACCACUUUCAUUUCCAUUAUUGUGAAAAUACAAUUCUAACCAGGAGUGCUCCAGGCCCUCCUCCUGCAGCCCAGGGCUCUGCUCUGUGGCAUGGUGCUGGAGCGCAGAUGCAGCAGUGAGGGUCUGUGUGGGCUGCAGGCUGUAGGCUAAGCUUCAUGGGCAGAAGCACCAUGGCCCAGUACUCUGAGUCAGGAACCAUUGAUUUAAUAUAUAAAUAGCCAAGAACAUAGAUCCCUCUUCCACAGUUUCUUUUUUGUUUUUUUGAGACGGAGUCUCCCUCUGUCACCCAGGCUGGAGUGCAGUGGUGUGAUCUCGGCUCACCGCAACCUCCACCUCCCAGGUUCAAGUGAUUCUCCUGCCUCUGCCUCAGCCUCCCAAGUAGCUGAGAUUACAGGUGCCCACCACAACGCCUGGCUAAUUUUUUGUAUUUUUAGUAAAGGCGGGGUUUCACCACGUUGGCCAGGCUUGUCUCGAACUCCUGAUCUCAGGUGAUCUGCCCACCUCGGCCUCCCAAAGUGCUGGGAUUACAGUAGUGAGCCACCGCACCUGGCACCACAGUUUCUACAGAGAAGUAAAACCCUACCUUCAGCAAGUACCUGAAUUUGGCUCCAAGUUGCAAAACUACCUCCUGUCAUGAAGAUGUGGGAAGUUUAUCUUUCAUAGAAUAUAAUCAACUGACCUCCCCAAUUCCCAGAAUCAGUCUCAGUGUUUCCUGUUUGGAUUGCCAUGAGGACAUCAACCCAGAGUGACUGUAGACCCUCUUCCCAGCACCUGAGAGUCUUUGAGACAUUUGAGGUUGUUGUGUGCAGACUGGGGUGAGGCUGACAAGAGGGUCUAAUUCUGCUACCAUCUAAGAGGGAGGGGAAUAAGUCAUUCAGUGUUUCUUCUCUUUCUCACAAAAAUAAUCUCUUUGGUUGGUUCCUAGAUGGGAGUUGUUCCAGUUUUCACUUGGGUGAAAAAAAAGGAGAGCUGGAGACUGAUCAACCAAUUACUUUCAUUUCAUAUGGCGAUUAGAAAAACAGAUGAGGCAAUCAUAAUCUCUGCAAUCCAGGAACUGUGUCUGUGGCAAAUGAAUAAAUGGCUGAAUUUCA